rnacentral:rRNA from 1 species
GACGAACGCUGGCGGCGUGCUUAACACAUGCAAGUCGAACGGUGAAGGGACCAGCUUGCUGGUUCUGGAUGAGUGGCGAACGGGUGAGUAACACGUGAGUAACCUGCCCCCUUCUUCUGGAUAACCGCAUGAAAGUGUGGCUAAUACGGGAUAUUCUGGGUCUGUCGCAUGGCGGGCCCGGGAAAGAUAUUGCUUCGGUGGGGGAUGGGCUCGCGGCCUAUCAGCUUGUUGGUGGGGUGAUGGCCUACCAAGGCGGUGACGGGUAGCCGGCCUGAGAGGGUGGACGGUCACACUGGGACUGAGACACGGCCCAGACUCCUACGGGAGGCAGCAGUGGGGAAGAUUGCACAAUGGGCGCAAGCCUGAUGCAGCGACGCCGCGUGAGGGAUGGAGGCCUUCGGGUUGUAAACCUCUUUCGCCAGUGAAGCAGGCCUGCUCCUUGUGGGUGGGUUGACGGUAGCUGGAUAAGAAGCGCCGGCUAACUACGUG